rnacentral:rRNA from 1 species
AACGAACGCUGGCGGCAUGCCUAACACAUGCAGGUCGAACGAAGCCUUCGGGCUUAGUGGCGCACGGGUGCGUAACGCGUGGGAAUCUGCCCUUUGGUUCGGAAUAACAGUUGGAAACGACUGCUAAUACCGGAUGAUGACGAAAGUCCAAAGAUUUAUCGCCAGAGGAUGAGCCCGCGUAGGAUUAGCUAGUUGGUGUGGUAAAGGCGCACCAAGGCGACGAUCCUUAGCUGGUCUGAGAGGAUGAUCAGCCACACUGGGACUGAGACACGGCCCAGACUCCUACGGGAGGCAGCGGUGGGGAAUAUUGGACAGUGGGCGAAAGACUGAUCCAGCAAUGCCGCGUGAGUGAUGAAGGCCCUAGGGUUGUAAAGCUCUUUUACCCGGGAUGAUAAUGACAGUACCGGGAGAAUAAGCCCCGGCUAACUCUGUGCCAGCCGCCGCGGUAA